rnacentral:rRNA from 1 species
AUACGUAGGGGGCGAGCGUUGUCCGGAAUGACUGGGCGUAAAGGGCGUGUAGGCGGCCGAUUAAGUCUGGAGUGAAAGUCCUGCUUUCAAGGUGGGAACUGCUUUGGAUACUGGUUGGCUUGAGUGCGGAAGAGGUAAGUGGAAUUCCCAGUGUAGCGGUGAAAUGCGUAGAGAUUGGGAAGAACACCAGUGGCGAAGGCGACUUACUGGGCCGUAACUGACGCUGAGGCGCGAAAGCGUGGGGAGCGAACAGGGUUAGAUACCCUGGUAGUCCACGCGGUAAACGAUGAAUGCCAGGUGUUGCGGGUAUCGACCCCUGCAGUGCCGGAGUAAACACAAUAAGCAUUCCGCCUGGGGAGUACGGCCGCAAGGUUGAAACUCAAAGGAAUUGACGGGG